rnacentral:snRNA from 1 species
GGAUGUGAGGGUGACUGGUUGUAGCAUCUGUCACCCCAUUGAUUGCCAGGAUUGAUUAGGCUGAUCUAGCUGGCUAGGCUCAUGUCCCCUUCCUUCUUCAGCACCCCAUGUGUGUCCCUCCUGAAGCUGUGUGCUCAGUCAAAGAGGAUGACCAUCCCUGAAUUGAGGAGGAUUGGGUUUUGGUCAAGGGUAUGCAAGUAUCUGCACUCCCCUGCUAGAACCUGCAAACAAGCUCUCAAGAAUGAGUGUGAGAGCCAGGUGUGAUGGAGCAUGCCUUUAAUCCCAGCACUUGGGAGGCAGAGGGAGG